AGUGGCGGACGGGUGAGUAAUGUCUGGGAAACUGCCUGAUGGAGGGGGAUAACUACUGGAAACGGUAGCUAAUACCGCAUAACGUCGCAAAACCAAAGAGGGGGACCUUCGGGCCUCUUGCCAUCGGAUGUGCCCAGAUGGGAUUAGCUAGUAGGUGGGGUAACGGCUCACCUAGGCGACGAUCCCUAGCUGGUCUGAGAGGAUGACCAGCCACACUGGAACUGAGACACGGUCCAGACUCCUACGGGAGGCAGCAGUGGGGAAUAUUGCACAAUGGGCGCAAGCCUGAUGCAGCCAUGCCGCGUGUAUGAAGAAGGCCUUCGGGUUGUAAAGUACUUUCAGCGGGGAGGAAGGGAGUAAAGUUAAUACCUUUGCUCAUUGACGUUACCCGCAGAAGAAGCACCGGCUAACUCCGUGCCAGCAGCCGCGGUAAUAC
rnacentral:rRNA from 1 species